GAUGAACGCUGGCGGCGUGCCUAAUACAUGCAAGUCGAGCGAACAGACGAGGAGCUUGCUCCUCUGACGUUAGCGGCGGACGGGUGAGUUACACGUGGAUAACCUACCUAUAAGACUGGGAUAACUUCGGGAAACCGGAGCUAAUACCGGAUAAUAUAUUGAACCGCAUGGUUCAAUAGUGAAAGACGGUUUUGCUGUCACUUAUAGAUGGAUCCGCGCCGCAUUAGCUAGUUGGUAAGGUAACGGCUUACCAAGGCGACGAUGCGUAGCCGACCUGAGAGGGUGAUCGGCCACACUGGAACUGAGACACGGUCCAGACUCCUACGGGAGGCAGCAGUAGGGAAUCUUCCGCAAUGGGCGAAAGCCUGACGGAGCAACGCCGCGUGAGUGAUGAAGGUCUUCGGAUCGUAAAACUCUGUUAUUAGGGAAGAACAAAUGUGUAAGUAACUAUGCACGUCUUGACGGUACCUAAUCAGAAAGCCACGGCUAACUACGUG
rnacentral:rRNA from 1 species